CAGUCCAGGCGUGAAGAGGAUAAUGAGCUUAACAUGCCUGUAAGAAGUUUCAGGUGGAGGUAUCUGGUGGCCUUCGGCACAAGAAGUGAAGUUGGUGAGAUGGCAAAGCAGUAUAUAGAGAAAAGUCUUUUGGUUCCAGACCAUGUGAUCACACGCCUAAUGAUGUCCGAGUUGGAGAAUAGGCGUGGCCAGCACUGGCUCCUUGAUGGUUUUCCUAGGACAUUAGGACAAGCCGAAGCCCUGGACAAAAUCUGUGAAGUGGAUCUAGUGAUCAGUUUGAAUAUUCCAUUUGAAACACUUAAAGAUCGUCUCAGCCGCCGUUGGAUUCACCCUCCUAGUGGAAGGGUAUAUAACCUGGACUUCAAUCCACCUCAUGUACAUGGUAUUGAUGACGUCACUGGUGAACCAUUAGUCCAGCAGGAGGAUGAUAAACCCGAAGCAGUUGCUGCCAGGCUAAGACAGUACAAAGAUGUGGCAAAGCCAGUCAUUGAAUUAUACAAGAGCCGAGGAGUGCUCCACCAAUUUUCCGGAACGGAGACGAACAAAAUCUGGCCCUACGUUUACACACUUUUCUCGAACAAGAUCACACCUAUUCAGUCCAAAGAAGCAUAUUGACCCUGCCCAAUGGAAGAACCAGGAAGAUGUGGUCAUUCAUUCAAUAGUGUGUGUAGUAUCGGUGCUGUGUCCAAAUUAGAAGCUAGCUGAGGUAGCUUGCAGCAUCUUUUCUAGUUGAAAUGGUGAACUGAUAGGAAAACAAAUGAGUAGAAAGAGUUCACGAAGAGGCCCUCCUCUGCCUUUCAAAAGGGUGGUCACCUACACAUGUUUAAGGUGUCUCUGCACAUGUCUCAAGCCCAUCACAAGAAAGCA
rnacentral:sRNA from 1 species